GAACAGAAGAAUUUUUGGAAUUUGUCCGCAAGCAGAUACCGUGCCUGAAGCUGCCUGAACUCCCCCUGGCUGCUGCGUUUCCCAUGAACCAGAAUAGCUCUGGAAACUCCAUGCAGCACGAAAGCAAAUGAUGGAAGCUUGCACUGCUUUUAUAACUCAGAAACACUGGCUUGUGCGACCUCCUGCCGGCAGUGCAGCUGGUCACUCUGAUGGAGCAUAUGGAAGCACCAGCAUAGAGAAAACAAACCCCAGCCCUGGAGCAGAAGAUAAGCAGCAGAAUGCCCUUGCACCUUCUGAUUCAUACAGCUUAGGUUACACCUCAAGGGACCCAAGGCCAGGGGACCCAAGUACAGGAGACAACACGGGCCAGCAGAAGUCGGUGGCAGAGCUGGAGGACAAGAAAGGAAAGGAAAUUGAAUUCUGUCGGAUAGCAGCAUUCUUUCGUCUUGCCUUCCAACCUCUAACCAGCCUUGAAAAUGCAUGGGAUGAAGGAUGCGAUGGAAAAACAUUCAUCACCGUGUUGACCACUGAUCAAAAGCACUUAGCUAGGAAGUGCAGGAUCUGCCAUCAUCUUUUAUUUUCUAUAGUCACAAAGCAGAGUAGCUGAUCUGACAUCUGUAAAAAAAUACUAAUAAUAAAAAAGUGAAAACCUCAAUCA
rnacentral:lncRNA from 1 species